rnacentral:lncRNA from 1 species
AUAAAUUUACCACAAACAUAAAUAUUAUCCUGGAGUAGGUGUCUAGGAACAUCGUAAGUAACCAAAUAUGAUGAGUCCUUAGUGUCCCAAAUGUACAACAUGCAUUUUCUUACACAUCUAAAAGGAUUAGAAACUCAGUAACAAGUCAACUUUCACCUAAAUCACCCAAAGAUACAAUUUUAUCACUCAGUAGAAUGAUAUAUCCAUUUUCAGAAACUAAAGCUACUGUCUGUCAUCCAGAACUCUCCUUUCCUGCCACUGAACUGUCUGGGAACCCAAAUCAGACAGUUGUAAAUAAGCAGAAUAUUAGAACCAAAAGUGAUUAGUCUCAG